CUUUGUGCAAACCUGUCCCAUCUCAUGUGAGCUGGACUUGGUGACUAACUUCAGUCAAUAGAAUUAAACAGAAAUCACAUGCGUAAAAUAGAAACUAGGUCAUAAAAGUAGUAUGACAUCACCCGGAAUCUCUCUAUUGCUCUAGUUGUCAUGUCAAAAAACUACUUAGACAGACUAUGAAGAGAUACAUAGGGUGAGAAACGGAGGCCUUCAGCCAACAGCUGGGAGAAGCUGAGUCCCAUCAGCCAUUCAAAAGACUGCAGCCCCAGCCAAGAGUUUGAUGUAACCUCAGGAGAGACCCUGAGCCAGAACCACCUAGAAAUCUCCAAGUGAGAAGACCUUACUUGUCUUCUGAAAGUCUGAAAAGCUGGGAUACAUGAAGACUGCCAUCCCUUGAGUCACUUGCCCUGUAGCUGCCACUGUUGGAAAAGGGCUUGCUUCUGUGUCCUUGUGCCCACUUUGAAAAUCCCUGGGAAGUCCUUGGAGUCAGAUGAGCAGGCCUCCGCCACUCUGCCAAAAAGUCUGUUCAGAAGUUUCACAUCACUAGAGAAGAGAGAAGAAGGACAUUUGUACUGGGAGGAGUCGACCGGUCCCAGUAAGGAGAAAGUAGCUACAGCGUCAUGGGUGAGCUGGGUCCCCCAAAAAGGAACUUUAAGGGAAUGGACUGAAUCAAGUCUGAGAUGUCCCCAAAGCAAGACCAAAGAACUGAGGAAGAGAAGCAUUCAUCAGAAACCAAAAUUCAGCUACAAGUGAGCAUCCAGAUGGAGGUAUUAUGAAGAGGAACUGAGACUGAGGGCAAAAGGUGCCAGCCAGAAUCCUGGAUAGGAGAGCAAGAACCAGGACCUCAUUUAAGAGACAACCUGCUUAAGGCAGAGUAAGCACAAAUGGGCACUCAACAUCAAUGAAGUAACAGCAAAGUCACAUAAUAAAAGCAUGGAAUUAAGACAAGCUGAAGAUUCGGAUGCAAUAAAAC
rnacentral:lncRNA from 10 species